CAGCAGCCGCGGUAAUACGUAGGUCCCGAGCGUUGUCCGGAUUUAUUGGGCGUAAAGCGAGCGCAGGCGGUUAGAUAAGUCUGAAGUUAAAGGCUGUGGCUUAACCAUAGUACGCUUUGGAAACUGUUUAACUUGAGUGCAAGAGGGGAGAGUGGAAUUCCAUGUGUAGCGGUGAAAUGCGUAGAUAUAUGGAGGAACACCGGUGGCGAAAGCGGCUCUCUGGCUUGUAACUGACGCUGAGGCUCGAAAGCGUGGGGAGCAAACAGGAUUAGAUACCCCCGUAGUCCCUGUCUCUUAUACA
rnacentral:rRNA from 1 species